rnacentral:tRNA from 1 species
GGGGAAAUAGCAAAGUGGUUACUGCGCUGCACUCGAAAUGCAGUACCUUCGGGUGCGGGGGUUCGAAUCCCCCUUUCUCCU